UCAAACAAUUCUUCUCAAAAAAUACCGCUAGCCAUGUACUUUUACCUCUGCUAGGGUCUCCGCGCUAGCUUCCCUUCCCUCCGCCCUCCCCUCCCCUCCCCUCCCCUCCGCAGGUUUCCUUCCUUAGUCGCCAGCCUCUUCCCCUCUAACCCAAACCUUCGCGUUUCUUUGCCUCUCUCCAGUCUUCUAGUUUUCCUUCACCUCAACUUCUCUCUCUCACUGACCAUAGAUGCUCACAACGAUGUUUCCCCGACUCUGUUUUGGUACUGAUUCGAACUGGUGCAGUGGUCGAUAGUUUGGAACGGGGCGCACAGCGUGGUCGAUAGAUUCAAAACAGAGGUUCAAUUUUGUUAGUUUGCUUGAUUGGGAGAAAGGAGGUAAAAUACCUGUCGGCCUCCAAUCGGUGUGCACUACCACUACAAGUACCAUGAUCGGUAAAAUAAACAUAAAUGCAAUAUAACCACUUGCUUUUUAUUAUGGAUAUUCUUCUUCAGUGGUUAUUCUAGACUCCUUAAUAUAGUCCAGAUGCUUAAAAGCUGAAUAACCUAAAUCAACAUGAGACCAUGGCCAAAGAUAGUCAAUCAUGUGCUGAGCAGAAGAUGCUCUCUUGUUAGCAUGUUGUAUCGGGUUGCAACAACAUCUGCUGAUGUUAUUGCUCGACAGCAUUCUCUAAACUUAAAAUAUUAUAUAUAUAUAUUAAAAACAAAUAUAAUAAUUAUGUAAAAAGAUUAUGGUAACUCAAAUUUCCUUGAUUUUUUAUAGGAGGCAAAAUACCU